rnacentral:rRNA from 1 species
UACGUAGGGUGCGAGCGUUGUCCGGAAUUAUUGGGCGUAAAGAGCUCGUAGGCGGUUUGUUGCGUCGGCCGUGAAAACCUGCAGCUUAACUGUGGGCCUGCGGCCGAUACGGGCAGACUUGAGUUCGGUAGGGGAGACUGGAAUUCCUGGUGUAGCGGUGAAAUGCGCAGAUAUCAGGAGGAACACCGGUGGCGAAGGCGGGUCUCUGGGCCGAUACUGACGCUGAGACGCGAAAGCGUGGGGGAGCGAACAGG